CGAUGAAGGACGUGCUAAUCUGCGAUAAGCGUCGGUAAGGUGAUAUGAACCGUUAUAACCGGCGAUUUCCGAAUGGGGAAACCCAGUGUGUUUCGACACACUAUCAUUAACUGAAUCCAUAGGUUAAUGAGGCGAACCGGGGGAACUGAAACAUCUAAGUACCCCGAGGAAAAGAAAUCAACCGAGAUUCCCCCAGUAGCGGCGAGCGAACGGGGAGCAGCCCAGAGCCUGAAUCAGUAUGUGUGUUAGUGGAAGCGUCUGGAAAGGCGCGCGAUACAGGGUGACAGCCCCGUACACAAAAAUGCACAUGCUGUGAGCUCGAUGAGUAGGGCGGGACACGUGGUAUCCUGUCUGAAUAUGGGGGGACCAUCCUCCAAGGCUAAAUACUCCUGACUGACCGAUAGUGAACCAGUACCGUGAGGGAAAGGCGAAAAGAACCCCGGCGAGGGGAGUGAAAAAGAACCUGAAACCGUGUACGUACAAGCAGUGGGAGCACGCUUAGGCGUGUGACUGCGUACCUUUUGUAUAAUGGGUCAGCGACUUAUAUUCUGUAGCAAGGUUAACCGAAUAGGGGAGCCGAAGGGAAACCGAGUCUUAACUGGGCGUUAAGUUGCAGGGUAUAGACCCGAAACCCGGUGAUCUAGCCAUGGGCAGGUUGAAGGUUGGGUAACACUAACUGGAGGACCGAACCGACUAAUGUUGAAAAAUUAGCGGAUGACUUGUGGCUGGGGGUGAAAGGCCAAUCAAACCGGGAGAUAGCUGGUUCUCCCCGAAAGCUAUUUAGGUAGCGCCUCGUGAAUUCAUCUCCGGGGGUAGAGCACUGUUUCGGCAAGGGGGUCAUCCCGACUUACCAACCCGAUGCAAACUGCGAAUACCGGAGAAUGUUAUCACGGGAGACACACGGCGGGUGCUAACGUCCGUCGUGAAGAGGGAAACAACCCAGACCGCCAGCUAAGGUCCCAAAGUCAUGGUUAAGUGGGAAACGAUGUGGGAAGGCCCAGACAGCCAGGAUGUUGGCUUAGAAGCAGCCAUCAUUUAAAGAAAGCGUAAUAGCUCACUGGUCGAGUCGGCCUGCGCGGAAGAUGUAACGGGGCUAAACCAUGCAC
rnacentral:rRNA from 1 species